rnacentral:rRNA from 1 species
CCCUUAGAUGUCCUGGGCCGCACGCGCGUUACACUGAUGCAUUCAACGAGCUUAUAACCUUGGCCGAGAGGCCUGGGCAAUCUUGUUAACGUGCAUCGUGAUAGGGAUAGAUUAUUGAAAUUAUUAAUCUUGAACGAGGAAUUCCUAGUAAACGCAGAUCAUCAAUCUGCAUUGAUUACGUCCCUGCCCUUUGUACGCACCGCCCGUCGCACCUACCGAUUGGAUGGUCCGGUGAAGCCUCGGGAUUGUGGUUCUUGCCGCUUUAUUGUGGCGUGACCGCGAGAACUUGUCUAAACCUUAUCAUCUAGAGGAAGGUGAAGUCGUAACA